rfam:Pteropus alecto contig162900, whole genome shotgun sequence.
GUCUAUGGCCAUGCCACUUUGAACAAGCCCGAUCCCAUCUGAUCUCGGAAGCUAAGCAAGGUCGGGCCUGGUUAGUACUUGGAUGGGAGACCACCUAGGAAGACCAGGGGCUGAAGGCA